UACGUAGGGUGCAAGCGUUGUCCGGAAUUAUUGGGCGUAAAGAGCGUGUAGGCGGCCCGAUUAGUCCGCUGUGAAAGUCCAGGGCUCAACCCUGGAAUGCCGGUGGAUACUGUCGGGCUAGAGUCCGGAAGGGGCGAGUGGAAUUCCUGGUGUAGCGGUGAAAUGCGCAGAUAUCAGGAGGAACACCGAUGGCGAAGGCAGGUCACUGGGCCGCAACUGACGCUGAGGAGCGAAAGCAUGGGGAGCGAACAGG
rnacentral:rRNA from 1 species